rnacentral:rRNA from 1 species
UACAGAGGGUGCAAGCGUUAAUCGGAAUUACUGGGCGUAAAGCGCGCGUAGGUGGUUUGUUAAGUUGGAUGUGAAAUCCCCGGGCUCAACCUGGAACUGCAUUCAAAACUGACAAGCUAGAGUAUGGUAGAGGGUGGUGGAAUUUCCUGUGUAGCGGUGAAAUGCGUAGAUAUAGGAAGGAACACCAGUGGCGAAGGCGACCACCUGGACUGAUACUGACACUGAGGUGCGAAAGCGUGGGGAGCAAACAGG